AUUGAACGCUGGCGGCAUGCCUUACACAUGCAAGUCGAACGGCAGCACGGGAGCUUGCUCCUGGUGGCGAGUGGCGAACGGGUGAGUAAUACAUCGGAACGUACCCUGAAGUGGGGGAUAACAUAGCGAAAGUUACGCUAAUACCGCAUAUUCUGUGAGCAGGAAAGAGGGGGAUCGCAAGACCUCUUGCUUUAGGAGCGGCCGAUGUCGGAUUAGCUAGUUGGUGAGGUAAAGGCUCACCAAGGCGACGAUCCGUAGCGGGUCUGAGAGGAUGAUCCGCCACACUGGGACUGAGACACGGCCCAGACUCCUACGGGAGGCAGCAGUGGGGAAUUUUGGGACAAUGGGCGCAAGCCUGAUCCAGCCAUGCCGCGUGAGUGAAGAAGGCCUCGGUUGU
rnacentral:rRNA from 1 species